rnacentral:lncRNA from 1 species
UGUGCCCCUGCCCUGUUCUUGCCCUGGGUCAUCCUGCACUCAGUGUUGACUUUGUGGCAUCUACUGAAAUACUUUCAGAAGGCAGAUACAUGGUUGAUGGAGCUGGGGUUGCCUGUCUCACUGACAGAAUGGUCAGAAUUCAGCCACUUAGAACCAGCAACUAGCCUACUUUUACUUGCUUUAAAAGGAAUCAAGACUCUUUGGGCUUCCAUGGAAAUAAGAUUUGUACCAUAUGUCUAAGUUGUGCAUGCCAAGGAUAAUGGAAACAAGACUGGCGAGGGGAGGCAUGGGUAGGACUUAAAAAUUCCAGAGGUCUGCAAAGGUUUCUUCUCAGGAUAUAUGAAAAACCAUCACAUAUCAUGCUGAAAUCAAGAUAAUAAUACCCUAUACCUGCUUUAAGGCCCAGCAAUUCCACUUCUAUGUAUUUAUCCAGGAGAAAUAAAAACACGUCUACUAAAAGACUCAUACAAGAAUGUUUAUGGAAACCAUAUUCACAAUAACCCCAAGCUGGAAAUGACCCAUAUGUCCAUUAAUAAGAGAACAGAUCAACAAAAUGUGGUAUAUGCAUACAAGGGGAUACUCCUCAGGAAUAAAAAAGGAACAAACUACUGCAUUGCCCUACACAGGGGAUUUCUACUCUUCCUUUACAAAGCUGGUUUCUUCCAAACAUUAAGAUCUCUUACAGGGACUGAAUGAUAAAUGGAUGAAUGAGGAGGAUGAUGAAGGGGGAAGGUGAUGGAAGAAUUAGGACAAGGAGGCUAUGCAGGAGAUUGGUAAGCAAUGAGCUAAGAAGGCUUUGAGACCUAUUGAGAGAUUCUAAACUCCUGGAUGGGCCUAUCUGCAUU